rnacentral:tRNA from 1 species
GAGGAUGUAGCUCAGUGGUAGAGUGCGUGCUUAGCAUGCUCAAGGUCCUGGGUUCAAUCCCUAGGACCUCC